GAUCUGUAGCUAUUUUCUUUUGGAGUAAGCUGUUUAUAAUUCACUUCAGUUUUUCCCCAUUUAAUUCACUUUUCUCCUCUUUACCUUAAAUAAUAAAAAAUACCAAAAUUUGGAUAAAUACCAAUUUUGCAGUUUAAUUUUCAGGUAGGAAACCAAAGAACACAGCCCUGGGAUUGUGUAGUUCUCGGAGCAUUCAUGCUGAAUUAGCCAUGAGACAAGCCAAAAGUACAUCGGGUAACUUUCCAAGCCAUGGGACCUCAUAGAUCAUCCUUGCUGAAUAAUUGCCACAAUACAUUUUCAUUUUGCUGCAGUGAAAGGACAGUGAACUUGUUCCUCUGGAAACUACUGGAGACAAUUUUGAGUGCCAGACUGAGGAAUGUUGGUAUACAUAAAAACGUAACACCUGAUACUUGUGUGCAUUUGAAUUUCCAUCCAACUAUAUUGUAAAUCAGUUUUAUUUAUUAAUGGAAAGAAAAAAGACCACUACAAACCAUCAUUUUCCAGAUGUAAUAUGCUGUUGCUAAUAGAAAUAUUCUCAUUAUUUCAUUAUAUUUCAUUAUAUUAGCAGAGUGCUUUCUUUCUCAUGUCACCAUAUGCCAGGAUCCCCUGUAUUAUGUAGCUUAGGGUAGAAACACAUUCUGUUAUGUGUUAAGCAGGAAAACAAGAGAUCCAAAAUUAUGAAGUUAUAUGUUACAGAAGGCUGAUUGAAUGAUUUAAAAAAAAAAUAUUUUUGGCUUUUGAGAAAUAGUAAUUGUAAAGAAAAAUAUAAUACCCCCAUCAAUUUCUAUAAUAUGUGCAAUUAAGAAGAGUUGGAAAAUGUCCAUGAACCAUAUGUUGGAAUCUCAUCUGUGGAUUAAAGCAUGAUUUCUAAACAGAAGGCUCGUAUGAAAUGAUUACUAUAAAACAGUAACAUCUCUGGACACAAUGCCUCAAAUGAAUCAUGUCCGGCAUUUCACAAAAAGAAAAAUAUGUUAAAAAUUUUUUAGAGAACAUGAAGAAAGAGCUUACAUGUCUACCACAGGAUGGAGCCUGUCAGAAAAGUAUAGUAAAACAAUCUGGCAAAGGGUACAUUGCCAUACUAGAAAUGAUUCUAUGAGUGGGUUUACACAACAUAAACCCCUAACUCUGUUUGACAAAAAGUUUGGAAUUUUCGCAAAUCAUUGAGUUCACACAAUAGGCUGAGCUAAAAAAAAUGCCCAAGUUUCAUUUUAUCCUGGUUUAACAUGUUCCUGUUGCAUCUGAGUAAGAAGAAAAGGUAUGAGGUAGAGAAAGGUUUGAAUAUAAACUGUUUUCCAAUGGUUGGGGGGGUUGUCAAGGAGAAGUUACAGCUGUGACCAUCUUUACAAUUGAUCUUAGGCAAAAGAAUUGAUGGAACGGAUCCCUAUAUCCCUAUAUCAGGGACUCCAAUAUAAGGAAACAUUUGGCAACUGUAGGCAGAGAAAGAACUAAUUUGCCCGUCUUCUCGUGACUUAUUGCUCUUGUCAAUUCUUGUAGGUUAUAUAUAUAUUAAAUGGGGGGGGGUCUCAAAUUGAGUACAUCAUGUUGGUUAUUUAUUUACUAGUGUUCAAGGGUGGUGCGAGUAAAGCUCAUCAAUGCUGACAUCUGCCUGAAGGCCCUCAGGGCAAGCAGAUUCUCCCUGUGAGCCUCCAGUUUAAUAUGCCACAUGACUGGGAUUGUAUGCCAGAUCUUGGGAUCUUCUAGGAAAUUAAAAUGAUUGCUCUUAGGAACCUCUGGGUGGUUGAUACUGUGUCUCCCCCUGCCACCACCUUCCCCGGGGUCAGGGAGUUCAUUCUAUCCAAAGCCCCCUCAGAACUAGGUAUGUUUACAAACGUGUAUGUAGUGACAUGCUUAUUCUUAAAAUGUAGUUUAUUUAAUGCCUUGAAAUUAAACUUAAAACAGUCAUGAACAUACUUCAUUACAAAUGUAUACCCAUAUUAUUCUUAAAAUGAUUACAAUAAAAUACAACACUUGUUAAAAAUGAAAAGGAA